CCAUUAUCCCAGUCUUUUAAGAGGGUCUCUUACAUUUAUUAGGAUUAAAAGAAAAUAAAAAAUAUCAAUAAACCUAAAGACGUCUCUUAAUCGGGGACAAUAAGAGACGUCUCUUGUGAUUCCUCUUCCUCCCUUUUCACCUUCUCCAGAACUUCAUCCCACUCUCAUCUCUAUCUCUCUCCCGACUUGUGAAAUCCGUAGGUUUCGAAUCCAAGUCUCCUCCGUCGCCCAGACUUUGGAUUGGGCUCAGCAAGAUGGGGACGAAAGCGGAGACGUGAGCGCAUCGGUCCACCGUCGCCGGUACACUGAAUCGUCCUAAGCGGUAUGGAGACAUGGCGAACCGUAGAGUCUCGAGCCGUACCCGUAAGGUUGCUGCGAAGAUGGCGGCAGCUCUUACAAGCACCGACAAUCGAACCCAGGCUGCUAUAGCUAGGCUGGAGGCUUUAGAGAACGACAAUGGAGCCCUAGAGGUGGUUGAUUUGAACGACGAUGAAAAAGCAUCUCUCGACGAAGAAGAUGAUCUCGGUUAGCCUUGGCUAUGCUCUUUGAGCAAGCUGGUACUGUUGAAAUAGCUGAGGGGAAUUGCUCCUGAACAAACAUUUGCUUUCCAAUAUUGUUCUGCAGCUGCAACAUACCUAACCCGCUGAGCAAGACGUCUCCUCCUAUAUACCCCCACCAAGCGCACAAUCAGGAUUAUUGAAAGCAUAAGAGACACUAAUUGAGCAAUUGGAGUUCAGUUGCCUUAUUUUUGGGGGGAAGGUACCUGAGCAGUGUGGUCGCGGGAUGCUUGUGUGAGGAGACUUCGAGCUUGUCUUCUCCACUUGGUACGUACGUUCUUUUAUGUUCCUUUAGAAACCUGUAUGUUUUUGUAAGUACUAGUAUUCACAUGUCUUAGAAAUUUGUAUAAAUGAAACUAGUAUUAUUUAAGAAAAGUUUAAGUUUAAUAAGAAAAAUCAAAAAUUUGGUGUU